GGUUGGGUGAUUCUGCAUGUCAGUUUUUUAAUCCUCAAGAAACUGCGGAUUAUCCAUUUUUCACUUGCAUUGUUGCUCGAUCCAUUCAGGGUAUAACUGUUUCAUGUUUUGAUAUGACCUGUAUCCGUGCAAGUUUAUGGCAACAUCAUCAUGCAUGGAUGUAUACUUCUAUACAGUAGCUUAGCUGAGGUCUUUAACAGGAGCAAAUGCGCCAGGGAGUAAAUCAGUUGGUUGAAAGAGUGGCGAGAAUGCGCACUGAGGUUGCUGCAGAGUUUUAUCCUGAGACCUGGAGACAAGGGAGGAUGUUGUCGUCUUGUUUGUUCCAUGACGCACAUGUUCAAGAGUUCCAGUUGCGUGGCGUGCCACGCAACUUCAAUCGUAUCCCCAAUGCAAUAACUCAGAUGUCUGGUGCCUAUAUAUUUUAUUAAAGAGUUGCAAUGUUUGUCUAUGGUGAUCUAGUUCCAUUCCCAGGUAGAAAUGGAGAUGCUCUGAUGGGCGAUGCGUGCAUAAGGGGAGCACGGAAAGUUUUAGUUCAUAGCACAGACAUUGUUCAUGCACGCGUCGAGGGAAAGGAUGUGAAAGAGAAUGCAAGCGCUCGAUCGAUAUUGUUGCACAACCCAAACUAGAGCAUCUUCAAGAAUGCUUCUACACUUCUAUUGCUGCAGAAAGUCAACCACAAAC